rnacentral:lncRNA from 1 species
CCCACGUCAGCACCUUAUUCAGUUGGCGUCAGGCUUGAGCCUGAUUUUGCGGGUGAGAGUUUAUAAGAACAUAGGUAAGACGGCGUAGAUCCUCCUUAACAUUGAACAAAUCUUUGAGUGCUAUCGCCUUGUUCGCUGCUCUAUCCUCCAAGAGUCCCAUCACACUGACGGCGCGUUAGGUAGGAAAGUGGAAAAGGAAAAGGAAAUACGCUCGAUCAUAUUCCUUGGGAAGCAAGUUCAUGAAAAAAGACAAUCAGAAUGAACAAUGCAACCGCAUACUUCAUCGUUUUUGCCCUCUUCAUUAUGAGCUCUCGUUGGCAGCCUUCGAGCAAGGUCGAAGCGGGAAGGAUUAUAUUCGGCCCAAAAAAUUGCUGGAGAGGAACUUGCCCCCACGACUGUCAUCCACCUUGUGAGUGCCCCAGCCCUUUUGAGUGGUUUUUUGGAAUCAGGAAUUGUCGUUGAUGGAAUUCCUCUAUAAGCAGUAGUUUUUUUUUAUGAAUAAAUGUUGUUGA